AAACCAACAGGGAUUGCCUUAGUAGCGGCGAGUGAAGCGGCAAGAGCUCAAAUUUGAAAUCUGGUAUCUUCGAUGCCCGAGUUGUAAUUUGAAGAAAACAAUCUUGGAAUUGGUCCUUGUCUAUGUUCCUUGGAACAGGACGUCACAGAGGGUGAGAAUCCCGUGCGACAAGGAAUUCUUUUCUUUAUAAGAUGUUUUCGAAGAGUCGAGUUGUUUGGGAAUGCAGCUCUAAGUGGGUGGUAAAUUCCAUCUAAAGCUAAAUAUUGGCGAGAGACCGAUAGCGAACAAGUACUGUGAAGGAAAGAUGAAAAGAACUUUGAAAAGAGAGUGAAAAAGUACGUGAAAUUGUUGAAAGGGAAGGGUAUUCGAUCAGACUGGUAUUUAGUUAUCGCUGUUCUUCGGAGUGGUGCUCUAACUUUUUACUGGGCCAACAUCAGUUUUGGUGGUAAGAAAAUCGCAGUUGAAUGUGGCUCCUUCUGGAGUGUUAUAGCUUCUGUUGAUGUUACCUACCGGGACUGAGGUCUGCGGCUUUGCCUAGGAUGUUGGCGUAAUGAUCCAAUACCGC
rnacentral:rRNA from 1 species